GGGCGUGUGGUCUAGUGGUAUGAUUCUCGCUUUGGGCUUUUGUUCAAGUAUGCGAGAGGCCCUGGGUUCAAUUCCCAGUAUGCCCC
rnacentral:tRNA from 3 species